AGUCUCUCAUAGAAACUUCUGGCCUCUGGACACUGUGGGAGCAACUUUUCCUUUAUUAGACUGUCUCCUCUUUAACUGGAAUAUUGCAGCAUGACUGGGAAGCCUGUCCUUCAUUACUUCAAUUGAAGAAGAAGAAUGGAGUCCAUCCGGUGGCUCCUGGCAGCAGCUGGAGUAGAGUUUGAGGAAGAACUUUUUGAAACCCAUGAAGAGUUUGAGAAGUUAAUCCAAGGUGGAACCCUGAUAGAAGGAGAUGAACCUUGAAUACAUCCUCCACCGAGCUACAACAAGAUUCUUCCCCGUUUAUGAGAAGGCCCUGAGAGACCACGGGCAAGACUUUCUUGUGGGCAAUCGGCUGAGCUUGGCUGAUGUCCAGCUCCUUGAAGUCAUCUUAAUGGCUGAAGAAUGCAAAGCCAGUGUUCUCUCGGGUUUCCCUCUGCUACAGGACUUCAAGGUGAGAACCAGCCAAAUUCCUACAAUUAACAGCUUCCUCCAACCUGGAAGCCAGAGGAAGCCUCCUUUGGAGGAGCGAUCCAUUGGGACUGCAAAGGACAUAUUCAAAUUUGAAUGAGGACUGUUUCUUAAAAACAUGAGCAAUAUAGUAGCUGAGUAUUAACAGCUACAGAGGCUGGAGUUACUCAGUAAGUAUACUGAGUAACUUGACACUGCAUUCAUAAAAAGACACUCACUAAGUAUAUGGCCAGAGAAAUAUCCUGAAGUUAGUAAUAAAUGUUAGGAAUCUUAGUAUGUUAGCAAUGUUAGAAUGUUAGUAAUGGAAAUAUUAAAUGUGUAAGAGAAAAACUACUAGAAGCUUAUCAAUAAACUACAAGAACCAACUCUUGUUUGAAGUAAGACAGGCUACCAAGACAGAAUUCAGAAAAUCCAAGGAGCCCUCGGCCUUCUGUAUGAUCCUAGAAUAAACUUGUAUGUAGCAAGUGAAA
rnacentral:lncRNA from 1 species